rnacentral:rRNA from 1 species
UGCAGUCGAGCGGAUGAAGGGAGCUUGCUCCUGGAUUCAGCGGCGGACGGGUGAGUAAUGCCUAGGAAUCUGCCUGGUAGUGGGGGAUAACGUCCGGAAACGGGCGCUAAUACCGCAUACGUCCUGAGGGAGAAAGUGGGGGAUCUUCGGACCUCACGCUAUCAGAUGAGCCUAGGUCGGAUUAGCUAGUUGGUGGGGUAAAGGCCUACCAAGGCGACGAUCCGUAACUGGUCUGAGAGGAUGAUCAGUCACACUGGAACUGAGACACGGUCCAGACUCCUACGGGAGGCAGCAGUGGGGAAUAUUGGACAAUGGGCGAAAGCCUGAUCCAGCCAUGCCGCGUGUGUGAAGAAGGUCUUCGGAUUGUAAAGCACUUUAAGUUGGGAGGAAGGGCAGUAAGUUAAUACCUUGCUGUUUUGACGUUACCAACAGAAUAAGCACCGGCUAACUUCGUGCCAGCAGCCGCGGUAAUACGAAGGGUGCAAGCGUUAAUCGGAAUUACUGGGCGUAAAGCGCGCGUAGGUGGUUCAGCAAGUUGGAUGUGAAAUCCCCGGGCUCAACCUGGGAACUGCAUCCAAAACUACUGAGCUAGAGUACGGUAGAGGGUGGUGGAAUUUCCUGUGUAGCGGUGAAAUGCGUAGAUAUAGGAAGGAACACCAGUGGCGAAGGCGACCACCUGGACUGAUACUGACACUGAGGUGCGAAAGCGUGGGGGAGCAAACAGGAUUAGAUACCCUGGUAGUCCACGCCGUAACGAUGUCGACUAGCCGUUGGGAUCCUUGAGAUCUUAGUGGCGCAGCUAACGCGAUAAGUCGACCGCCUGGGGAGUACGGCCGCAAGGUUAAAACUCAAAUGAAUUGACGGGGGCCCGCACAAGCGGUGGAGCAUGUGG